rnacentral:rRNA from 1 species
GUGCCAGCAGCCGCGGUAAUACGAGGGGGGCAAGCGUUAUUCGAAAUGAUUGGGCGUAAAGGGCAUCUAGGCGGUCUAUUAGUUUUAAAUAGUUAAUAAAUACCAGAGCUUAACUGUGGUAAUUAGUUUAAAAUUAGUAAACUAGAGUAAGUAAAAGGAAAAUGGAAUUUCUGGAGGAGAGGUAAAAUUUGUAGAUCUCAGAAGGAACACCAAAAGCGAAGGCAAUUUUCUAGUACUUAACUGACGCUGACGUGCGAAAGCGUGGGGAGCAAGCAGGAUUAGAUACCCUGUUAGUCCACGCCGUCAACGAUGAUAAUUCAUUAUUAGUAAUUUUAUUUAGUAAAAUUAGUAGUGGUCUAGCUAACGCGUUAAAUUAUCCGCCUGAAAACUACGAUCGCAAGAUUAAAACUCAAAGAAAUAGACGGGGGCUCACACAAGUGGUGGAACAUGUGGUUUAAUUCGACACAACGCGCAAAACCUUACCAGCCCUUGACAUAAAUUAGAAUUAAAAUAGUUAUUAUUUUACUAUACAAUUUACAGGUGCUGCAUGGCUGUCGUCAGCUCGUGUCGUAAGAUGUUUGGUUAAGUCCUUUAACGAGCGCAACCCUCAUGAAAUAUUGCAAAUUUUUUUUAAAAAAAAAAAUAGAACUAUUUUCAUACUGCCAGUGAUAUACUGGAGGAAGGUGAGGAUGACGUCAAGUCGUCAUGGCCCUUAUGGGCUGGGCUACACACGUGUUACAAUAAUGAUUACAAAAGCAAGCAAUUAUGCAAAUAAGAGCGAAUGCCUAAAACUCAUUUUAAUUCGGAUUGUUCUCUGCAACUCGAGGACAUGAAGUUGGAAUCACUAGUAAUCGUGGAUCAGCAUGCCACGGUGAAUAUGUACCUGAGCCUUGUACUCACCGCCCGUCACGCUCUGGAAGUUGAAUGGUUUUAAAGUAUUGUAUUAAAAAUAAUUUCGUAUAUUUUUCAAUUUAUCUUAAAGUAAAAAAUUAAAAAUUUACAAAGUACUUUUUUAAUUUUUUAAAAAAACUAGAAAAUAAAAUAAAUUAAUAUGUAUUAUUGAUAAACAUAUACCAGAAACUGUAUAGUGACCGGAGCGAAGUCGUAACAAGGUAACC